UCACCUACUCAAGACACACGAGCGAAGACAUAGAGAACAGCCUUAAAGGGCCUUUCGGCCAGACGCAGAGGAAGGAAGAAGAGAAAAGAGCAUAGAGCAGAUGCAUAAUAGAAGACCAGAGGCAUACACAAAACGCGAGCAAAGACGCAGAGAGCAAGCCAUUAAACUUUCGACCAGACAGCAAAGAAGCAACUUAUGGCAGAGCACGCACAUGAAAAACACAAAAGGAGAGCAUUCACAAGAACACAGAACAAAAGCAAAAAGGAGAAAGCCAUCCCUGGAUGAAAAUGAAGAAAGCAAGCAGAAAAUGCAGAGGAAGUGGUAGAGGAAAUUUGGUAUCGUGUGAAAAAGAAGUUGAAUCGAGUCAGAGCUUGUAGAUUCACGCUACCCAGGUAACUAUCUUCUAUAUAAAGGGCUGAUGAUGAUCUAAGUAAGGGGAGAGUAGGGAGAUCUCUAUGGAUUUUUCAAUUGAGUGUGGAAGAGAGAUCGAAGGUUUGAGAACGAGAUCUAGAUCCAAAGGGAAAGAAGAGAGACCAGGAGUUUGAGAGGGGAAGAAAAAAAGAGAAUCUUAUCUUGGUUUUUUGGGAGGGAGAAUUGAGAAGAGGAUUUCUGGAGGGAUUUCUAGAGAAAGAACUGAGAGCUGAGUUUGAGAGUUUGAGAGGAUUGAGAGCUUGAAAAGGACUGAGAAUUAGAGAGUGAUCUAGGUAGAAGCAGAGGAAGCAAUCGUAGAAGAGAUUGAAGGUGAAAAAGACACUCAUUUCGAUAACAACUUUAGGAUUAAUUCCCAUGCUUUAAGUUCUAGUUUUUUGAUUACAAACCAAGCGUCUCACACUGCUUUGUAAAGUUUAAUUGGUUUUGAAAUGUACUAAUCUUGUCUAUGAGCUUGAUUUUAAAAGAGAUUAGUCUGCAUUAUUUGAAUAAUUUUUUUAGGAUAUAGACUUAGUUGGAUGUAUGAUUAGGUGUUGGAAAUAGUCAGUUUUAUUAUGAGAUUGAUUUUUGCCUGCUGCUGUAAGAAAAAUGCUAGAAUAUAUACUCUGUUCAUAUGAUUCAUUUGCCUUACUAUGUGGUAGAUGAAAUUUAGUCUCAAAUUAUGCUUCUGAUCAUGAUUGAGGUUGGUUUCACUAUAUAUUAGCUAGUACUUUAUUGAGGAUCUUUUGAGACUUUGAUUAAAUAACCACAUUUACUUGCAUCCUACUUCUGUCAAGAUUAAAGUGUAAUUUAGAGUAACCUUGAGAUAUAUAAGCUUGAGUAAGUGUGUGCUCGUAUGUGCAGUCUGGAGGAAAUCAUUUUUGGGUUUUAGAUGUCAUGUGUUUAGGAUAUAUGGCUUGACACUAAAUAUGGAGAAAUUCCUAACAAAAACUUUGCUUGCUGUCCCAAUUAGCUUGAUCUGAUUUUCAUGUAUUCCUAUUAUGGAUUUGUCUCUAAUAAUGAAAAAAUUAUUUUACUUGUUUGACCACACGUUUGAGUUGGAUUUGAAAAAUGUGUUUAGCAUGAAAGGAUCUACUGGUAGAUGGUGGUGGAGUUUUGGUCCUUGUGCCAAUUUAAGGGGACUUUUACUUAGUUGUAGCAUUGUGUUCAUUUUUAUAUGUUUUUACUAUGCCUUCCUUCAUCGUUGUGGUUUAAUAUGUUAUUAUUUGAGUGUUUCUUAUAAAAGGUUGAGGAGGGAGUUCAAUUUUUGAGCGGAUUUAAUUUUUACAAUUGGAAUCCAAUACAAAAACUAUACACACACACACAUAUAUGUGAACACUGUAUUUUGUCUAGGCUUUAAAUUUAAUAAAAAAUAAUAAAUAACUAAAAAUUAUAUAAAAAUACAAAAAUAAAAUUUAAUCUUAUUUAGGAUUAUAUUUUCAAAAAAUAUAAUUAAUAGGGUUUAAUUUUUUUAAUUUAGAUAACCUUUUAUUGGUUAGGAUUUUAUUUCUUUUAGUUCAUAAAAAACAUAAAAAAUAUAAAAAUAAAAUUUAAUCCUUUUUUAGGAUUAUAUUUUCGAACAAAUAAUAAUUUAAAAAAACUCAAAAAAAUCUUGCUUAAAUGUUUUUUUAAAUCCCUCCCAAAUUAUUCCAAUCAUUCAAAAAAUAUUGAGAAUCAAUUUUUGAGAGUUAACUUUUCUCUCUUUAAAUCUUAUUUUUCACUUAAAAAAAAUAUGUGCGUGUGUUAACAAAAUAAUAAUAAUAAUAAUAAAUAAAUAAAUAAUAAAAAUAAAAUAUUUGGAGGGCCCGAUGAAAUGCUGAGUAUCAGUGUUUCAUUAUAGCCUUUAAAGGGCCUUCCUUUAACACGCAGACAUGACAAAAAAGAAAAAAGAAAGGGAAGUGAAACACGUAGCCACAGCCAGCCGAGAGAAGCGCCAAAAAUGGGAGAACGAAGCCCAGACGCUUGUAAAGGAGAAGAGCAGAUCAGAGCCUGCAGGACAUGCAAGCGAAAGAAAGAGAGAGCACUAAAACAUUACAAAAAGAGAAGAAAAGCAGAGCACAGAGGGGGAAAUUGAGAGCGAUAAAGAGCAUUGAAACCUGACGAAAAAAGAUUAGGGGACGAAAAGAGAAGGGCAGGGAAGCACAGAUGCAUGCAUACGUAGAGGAGGCCUUCCCUCUAAAAAUGCAUGGACGAAGAGAAGGAAAGAACACGAGAAGUAGAGACGGAGAAUGCAGGAUGAAGAGAAGAGAGCAUUAAUCUAAAACUAAAAAAAGAAAGCUAGAAACGAGAAAUAGAGCACCAAGAAGAGGAGGAAGGAAAGAACAUGAGAAGCAGAGAUGGAGAGGACAAGAGGGAGAUCACGAGCUUCAGUGAUAGAGGGAUCUCUCACGUAAAAUUGAGAAGAGAUAGAGAGGUAAAGAUGGAGAGCAUAAAAAAGAGAACGAGAAACCAGAGAGAGAGAGAGAGAACGAGAGAAAAAAAUGAGAAAGAGAGCAGAGACUAUCCGAGAGAGGAUGGAGAACGAGAAGGAGACGGAGAGUUUGAGAAGGGAACAAGAGGCUAGUGGUGGCUUAUCAGAUAAAGGGCACAAUGUGAUUAAAGGAGAAGGCCGAAUCUGUACUCUUACUGUGGUCCAUCCUCUACAGUGUAGAAAGGAGUCAUGGGUGUUGAUGUUAGUUCUCGUAAGGGUAGCGGGAAGCAUUCCAGGGUGGUUGAUAAUAUGGAGGGGGGAUCAAAGAUUUGAGGGAGCUAGAGAUAAGCGAUUGAGAGUUGAAGGUGAGUGUCUGAGAAGGUCUAAGGUACGCUCAUGUAAGGAAGAGUGAAGAUUGGGGUCUUUACCACAAUUAGUGGCAUUCAAAAAUGACUAUCCUUAUAAUCCUUUAAAUGGUUUCCCAAGAUUUACCUCAAAAUUUUGGUGGCGACUCCUUGUUUGUUCGGUUUCGGGCCGAAACCCCCGCUUGCGCGCCGUCCACGUCUCAUUUUUCAAGUGUGACAGUUGGCAACUCCAUUGAGAAUAGGGCAUUUGGGAGGAUAUAACUCUUGGUGAUGCUACCUGAGAGACAGAAGCUAAGAUGAGAUAGCUAUACUCUCAGUUAUUUCCUUAGAUAUGAGUAGAAGAACGAAGUUUUGAAGCAGAGCGUGUAAGUAGAGUGAGGAUUUCCCUCACUGUGCCACGCGCUGCAGCGGGGGAUAGAUGCGUCGCGAUGCAUAGAGCAAAAACUAGAUUAAUAGGGACGUGUCUAGCUUAUGAAAUAGAAGGGAGAAAUUGGAAGAGAGCUCAAACGUGGAGAAGAGCAAGGGCUAUGCUAAGGCAAGCUAAAUUAGGAGCAAGGAUGGCAUCUCUGACUUGUUACUUAUCGGGUCCAAGCGAAGGAACCAGUAGUUAACAGGGAAAGGAAUAGAGCUAGGGGUUGUUUGUAGAUUGUAAAGAACUACAACCCCUUUCUUUUAAGCAAAUAUGUUGUAAUAUAUUUAGGAUUAGAGUGCCAGUAGGAUGUGAUUAUAUAAAUAUGUGUGUGAAUAUGUGUGGAUUGUAUGGCUUGUUUAUGAAUUUUUGUCUACUUGUAGACUUAUGUCUGGGAAACUUGAUUAUAGUGUGUGGUUUUGAUAGAUUUAUUUAGUAGACGAAGU